CCUACGGGAGGCAGCAGUGAGGAAUAUUGGUCAAUGGGCUUACGCCUGAACCAGCCAAGUCGCGUGAGGGAAGACUGCCCUAUGGGUUGUAAACCUCUUUUGUCAGGGAGCAACGCCGGCUACGUGUAGCCGGACUGAGAGUACCUGAAGAAAACGCAUCGGCUAACUCCGUGCCAGCAGGCGCGGUCAUACGGAGGAGGCGAGCGUUAUCCGGAUUUUGUGGGUUUAAAGGGUGCGUAGGCGGAAUGCCAAGUCAGCGGUAAAAUCGCGGGGCUCAACCUCGCUCCGCCGUUGAAACUGGCGGUCUUGAGUGGGCGAGAAGUAGGCGGAAGGCGUGGUGUAGCGGUGAAAUGCAUAGAUAUCACGCAGAACUCCGAUUGCGAAGGCAGCAUACCGGCGCCCAACUGACGCUGAAGCACGAAAGCGUGGGUAUCGAACAGGAUUAGAUACCCCGGUAGUC
rnacentral:rRNA from 1 species